rnacentral:tRNA from 1 species
CAAACUAAAGCUAUAUUAGCACUUUAUUUACACUAAUGACAAUAUUGUUUAAUCAAUAUAGUUUGA